rfam:Simian immunodeficiency virus isolate SIVcpzMB66, complete genome.
GGGUCUCUCUUGUUAGACCAGAUUCUGAGCCUGGAGCUCUCUGGCUAGCUAAGGAACCCAC